rnacentral:rRNA from 1 species
CGAGAAGGUUCCUUCGGGAACUGGAGAGUGGCGCACGGGUGAGUAACGCGUGGGGACCUACCUCUUAGUGGGGGAUAACGGUUGGAAACGACCGCUAAUACCGCAUACGCCCUUCGGGGGAAAGAUUUAUCGCUAAGAGAUGGACCCGCGUUGGAUUAGAUAGUUGGUGAGGUAAUGGCUCACCAAGUCAGCGAUCCAUAGCUGGUUUGAGAGGAUGAUCAGCCACACUGGGACUGAGACACGGCCCCAGACUCCUACGGGAGGCAGCAGUGGGGAAUAUUGGACAAUGGGGGCAACCCUGAUCCAGCCAUGCCGCGUGAGUGAAGAAGGCCUUCGGGUUGUAAAGCUCUUUCAGAUGCGAAGAUGAUGACGGUAACAUCAGAAGAAGCCCCGGCUAAUUUCGUGCCAGCAGCCGCGGUAAUACGAAAGGGGCAAGCGUUGUUCGGAUUUACUGGGCGUAAAGGGCACGCAGGCGGUCUUGCCAGUCAGGGGUGAAAGCCCGGGGCUCAACCCCGGAACUGCCUCUGAUACUGCAAGACUAGAGACUAGGAGAGGGUGGUGGAAUUCCCAGUGUAGAGGUGAAAUUCGUAGAUAUUGGGAGGAACACCAGAGGCGAAGGCGGCCACCUGGACUAGAUCUGACGCUCAGGUGCGAAAGCGUGGGGAGCAAACAGGAUUAGAUACCCUGGUAGUCCACGCCGUAAACGAUGAGUGCUAGUUGUCGGGACUUCGGUUUCGGUGACGCAGCUAACGCAUUAAGCACUCCGCCUGGGGAGUACGGUCGCAAGAUUAAAACUCAAAGGAAUUGA